rnacentral:snoRNA from 1 species
AGUACCUGUAUGCUCUUUGUUGAACUGGUCAACAAAGAUUUAAAGAUAGUGCAAAAAUAAAACCUCUUUUGCAACCCAGAGCUCAUUAUUAAGCAUGAGUUUUAAUAAAUGUAAGAAGAACAAU